AUGAACGCUAGCUACAGGCUUAACACAUGCAAGUCGAGGGGCAGCAUGGUCUUAGCUUGCUAAGACUGAUGGCGACCGGCGCACGGGUGAGUAACACGUAUCCAACCUGCCGUCUACUCUUGGACAGCCUUCUGAAAGGAAGAUUAAUACAAGAUGGCAUCAUGAGUCCACAUGUUCACAUGAUUAAAGGUAUUCCGGUAGACGAUGGGGAUGCGUUCCAUUAGAUAGUAGGCGGGGUAACGGCCCACCUAGUCUUCGAUGGAUAGGGGUUCUGAGAGGAAGGUCCCCCACAUUGGAACUGAGACACGGUCCAAACUCCUACGGGAGGCAGCAGUGAGGAAUAUUGGUCAAUGGGCGAGAGCCUGAACCAGCCAAGUAGCGUGAAGGAUGACUGCCCUAUGGGUUGUAAACUUCUUUUAUAAAGGAAUAAAGUCGGGUAUGCAUACCCGUUUGCAUGUACUUUAUGAAUAAGGAUCGGCUAACUCCGUGCCAGCAGCCGCGGUAAUACGGAGGAUCCGAGCGUUAUCCGGAUUUAUUGGGUUUAAAGGGAGCGUAGAUGGAUGUUUAAGUCAGUUGUGAAAGUUUGCGGCUCAACCGUAAAAUUGCAGUUGAUACUGGAUAUCUUGAGUGCAGUUGAGGCAGGCGGAAUUCGUGGUGUAGCGGUGAAAUGCUUAGAUAUCACGAAGAACUCCGAUUGCGAAGGCAGCCUGCUAAGCUGCAACUGACAUUGAGGCUCGAAAGUGUGGGUAUCAAACAGGAUUAGAUACCCUGGUAGUCCACACGGUAAACGAUGAAUACUCGCUGUUUGCGAUAUACAGCAAGCGGCCAAGCGAAAGCGUUAAGUAUUCCACCUGGGGAGUACGCCGGCAACGGUGAAACUCAAAGGAAUUGACGGGGGCCCGCACAAGCAGUGGAGUAUGUGGUUUAAUUCGAAGCAACGCGAAGAACCUUACCAAGUCUUGACAUCCCGAUGACCGGUCUGUAAUGGGGCCUUCUCUUCGGAGCAUCGGUGACAGGUGGUGCAUGGUUGUCGUCAGCUCGUGCCGUGAGGUGUCGGCUUAAGUGCCAUAACGAGCGCAACCCUUGUUGUCAGUUACUAACAGGUUCUGCUGAGGACUCUGACAAGACUGCCAUCGUAAGAUGUGAGGAAGGUGGGGAUGACGUCAAAUCAGCACGGCCCUUACGUCCGGGGCUACACACGUGUUACAAUGGGGGGUACAGAGGGCCGCUACCACGCGAGUGGAUGCCAAUCCCAAAAACCUCUCUCAGUUCGGACUGGAGUCUGCAACCCGACUCCACGAAGCUGGAUUCGCUAGUAAUCGCGCAUCAGCCACGGCGCGGUGAAUACGUUCCCGGGCCUUGUACACACCGCCCGUCAAGCCAUGGGAGCCGGGGGUACCUGAAGUGCGUAACCGCGAGGAGCGCCCUAGGGUAAAACUGGUGACUGGGGCU
rnacentral:rRNA from 1 species